rnacentral:rRNA from 1 species
AGAGUUUGAUCAUGGCUCAGGAUGAACGCUGGCGGCGUGCCUAACACAUGCAAGUCGAGCGGACCGUUGCUCAUUUCAGCUUUGCUGAUUUGAGCAACGGUUAGCGGCGGACGGGUGAGUAACGCGUGGGCAACCUGCCCUGUGCAGGGGGAUAACACAGCGAAAGCUGUGCUAAUACCCCAUAAGACUACGCUAUCGCAUGAUAGAGUAGUCAAAGCUUUAGCGGCACAGGAUGGGCCCGCGUCUGAUUAGCUAGUUGGUGGGGUAACGGCCUACCAAGGCGACGAUCAGUAGCCGACCUGAGAGGGUGAUCGGCACACUGGAACUGAGACACGGUCCAGACUCCUACCGGAGGCAGCAGUGGGGAAUAUUGCACAAUGGGGGAAACCCUGAUGCAGCAACGCCGCGUGAGCGAAGAAAGGCUUCCGGUCGUAAAGCUCUGUCCUAUAGGAAGAAAUAUGACCGUACCUUAUGAGGAAGCCCCCGCUAACUACGUGGCAGCAGCCGCGGUAAUACGUAGGGGGCGAGCGUUAUUCUGAAUCACCUGGGCGUAAAGGGUGCGUAAGCCGCGAGUAAGCCCGAAGUGAAAAGCUACGGCUUAACCGUAGUAAGCCUUUGGAACUACUUGGCUUGAGUGCAGGAGAGGAGAGUGGAAUUCUUAGUGUAGCCGUGAAAAUGCGUAGAUAUUAGGAGGAACAUCAGUGGCGAAAGCGGACUUCUCUGGACUGUAACUGAUAGCUGAAGAACAAAACCUGGGGGAGAAACAGGAAUAAAUACCUCGGUAGUCCACGCCGUAAACAAUGAAUGCUAGGUGUCGGGGGUUCACACCCUCGGUGCCGGAGUUAACGCAAUAAGCACUCCGCCUGGGGAGUACGGUCGCAAGACUGAAACUCAAAGGAAUUGACGGGGACCCGCACAAGCAGCGGAGCAUGUGGUUUAAUUCGAAGCAACGCGAAGAACCUUACCAGGACUUGACAUCCCUUUGACAGCACCUUAACCGGAGCCUUCCCUUCGGGGACAAAGGAGACAGGUGGUGCAUGGUUGUCGUCAGCUCGUGUCGUGAGAUGUUGGGUUAAGUCCCGCAACGAGCGCAACCCUUGCCUUUAGUUGCCAUCAGUAAGGCUGGGCACUCUAGAGGGACUGCCGGUGACAAACCGGAGGAAGGUGGGGAUGACGUCAAAUCAUCAUGCCCCUUAUGUUCUGGGCUACACACGUGCUACAAUGGCUGGUACAACGGGCAGCGAAGGAGUAAUCCGGAGCGAAUCCUACAAAGCCAGUCCUAGUUCGGAUUGUGGGCUGCAACUCGCCCACAUGAAGCCGGAGUUGCUAGUAAUCGUGAAUCAGAAUGUCGCGGUGAAUGCGUUCCCGGGUCUUGUACACACCGCCCGUCACACCAUGGGAGCUCAGGGCACCCGAAGUCAGCACUAGGCGCAAGCUGAAGCUGCCGAAGGUGAAAUGAGUGACUGGGGUGAAGUCGUAACAAGGUAGCCGU